rnacentral:rRNA from 1 species
UACAGAGGUGGCAAGCGUUGUUCGGAAUUACUGGGCGUAAAGGGCGCGUAGGCGGCCAUCUAAGUCAGACGUGAAAUCCCCCGGCUUAACCUGGGAACUGCGUCUGAUACUGGAAGGCUUGAGUAUGGGAGAGGGAUGUAGAAUUCCAGGUGUAGCGGUGAAAUGCGUAGAUAUCUGGAGGAAUACCGGUGGCGAAGGCGGCAUCCUGGACCGACAUUGACGCUGAUGAGCGAAAGCUAGGGGAGCAAACGGG